UUGUGUUUUUUUGUAGAACUAUAUCUAAAUAUUACGUAGCUUCCUUAUGCCUCAUAAUUUCACAAUACAACAAACCCUAAACACCCUAUUCCCUUGGAAGUGUGUGGGUAGUAGAACCCCCACCCCCCUGUUCGAAAUAACAUUCUGAUCAACCAAGUUCCUGGGUAUGGUUGACUAACUUGGAACGGGUAAUGUAUUGUAACAAACCGAGCAAACCAAAGGUUGUUAGGUUAUACGGAUUUGGAACUUGCUGUCUGAAGUAGCUGGAGUGGUCAUGGGUCGUGCUGAUUGGAUACGAAUAAUGGAUUUAUUGAUUUUACACAUUUAAGCUGAAACAGUUAAUUAUGUUUUCUUUUAUUUGCUUCCGCUGAACAUGUUGAUUUCCUUUUAAACUUAUUGACAGUACUUUUCAGAAUAACUGAUGAUUUUAUUCAACAUUAUGAUUGGUUCAAUAUGAUUGGUGGCUCGUUAUUGGUUUGUCACACGCCUGACAGGGACACUCCCUAGGUGGUAUUUUGGGGGUGUGACAAUAUCUUCCCCAUUUAUGACAAUUAUUGAAUUUUGUUGAAUUUGUUUUUCUGUGAAUCCGUAAUCUGUGAUAAAAAUCGGAUUCCGAUAAUUCCUCAAACAAAAGAGGUUAGUUAAAUUUUACAUAUAUAUUUUUAUCUUUUUUAAGUUUGUAAUAUUUAAUUUUAUCCUUUCUGUUCAGUAAUUUUUUUUUAAAUUAGUAAUAUAUGUUCUGAAUGAUUUAUAGUUUGUAUUUUCCCAUGGUUAACCGUCAAUCUUUUGUGAAAUUCGUACUCGGAAUGUUCGUCUACCA